AUGGAGAAGGGGGCGUCGGAGUCGUCGCCGCUCGACUGCGCUCGCUGCGGCAAGCCCGCGUCUCUCCAAUGCCCCAAGUGCGCUCAACUGAAGCUCCCCCGUGAAGCUGCUGCUUUCUGUUCGCAGGAUUGUUUCAAGGCAGCAUGGGCCUCUCACAAGUCUGUUCACACAAAGGUAGAUGCACUGACAUCCCAGCUGUCUCAAGAAGGCUGGAAAUAUUGUUUGAAAAAAGGGCGGACCCGGACACUGGAGCUUCCUCGUUUUGAUUGGACAGGUCCAUUGAGACCAUUUCCUAUAUCAAAGAUGCGUUUGGUGCCAGACGGAAUCGAGAAACCUGAUUGGGCGCUUGAUGGAAUCCUCAAGAUCGAGCCGGACAGUGAUUUGCAGAAAAGAGUAGAGAUCAAGACCCCUGAGCAAAUUGAAAGGAUGAGGGAAACAUGCCGAAUUGCAAGAGAAGUUUUAGAUGCAGGCGCUCGUAUAAUCAAGCCAGGAAUUACAACAGAUGAAAUUGAUAGAGUGAUUCAUGAGGAGACAAUUGCCAGAGGUGGAUACCCGUCCCCGUUGAAUUACCAUUUCUUCCCGAAGUCAUGCUGCACGUCAGUUAAUGAAGUCAUUUGCCAUGGAAUUCCAGAUGCCAGAAAACUUGAAGAUGGUGACAUUGUAAACAUUGACGUUACUGUAUACUAUAAAGGUGUUCAUGGUGAUUUGAAUGAUACAUAUUUUGUUGGAAAUGUUGAUGAAGCUUCGAAACAGCUUGUCCGUUGUACCUAUGAGUGCUUGGAGAAAGCUAUCGCAAUAGUUAAACCUGGAGUUAGGUUUCGGGAAGUUGGAGAAGUCAUAAGUAGACAUGCAUCGAUGUCAGGUUUAUCUGUGGUGAAAUCUUAUUGUGGUCAUGGCAUAGGAGAAUUGUUCCACUGUGCCCCGAACAUCCCUCAUUAUUCAAGAAACAAGGCUGUUGGUAUCAUGAAAGCUGGUCAGACAUUUACAAUUGAGCCAAUGAUUAACACAGGACUUUGGCGUGACUGUCUAUGGCCUGACGAGUGGACUGCAGUGACUGCAGAUGGUAAACGGAGUGCUCAAUUUGAGCACACCCUUUUGGUGACGGAAACCGGAGUUGAAGUUUUGACAGCAAGGCUGCCCUCAUCACCGGACGUCUACCCAUGGUUGAAGCCGGCGUCAGCAAAUAGCAAGUGA
rnacentral:rRNA from 1 species